UACGUAGGGGGCAAGCGUUGUCCGGAAUCAUUGGGCGUAAAGCGCGCGUAGGCGGCCCCGGUAAGUCCGCUCUGAAAAGUCCAGGGCUCAACCCUGGAAAGCGGGUGGAUACUGCCGGGCUAGAAUCCGGAAGAGGCGAGUGGAAUUCCUGGUGUAGCGGUGGAAAUGCGCAGAUAUCAGGAGGAACACCAAUAGCGAAAGGCAGCUCGCUGGGGACGGUA
rnacentral:rRNA from 1 species